rnacentral:tRNA from 1 species
GGUGGCAUAGCCAAGUGGUAAGGCAGAGGCCUGCAAAGCCUCCAUUCCCCAGUUCGAAUCUGGGUGCCACCU